UACGUAGGGUGCAAGCGUUAAUCGGAAUUACUGGGCGUAAAGCGUGCGCAGGCGGUUUUGUAAGUCAGAUGUGAAAUCCCCGGGCUUAACCUGGGAACUGCGUUUGAAACUACAAGGCUAGAGUGUGGCAGAGGGGGGUGGAAUUCCACGGUGUAGCAGUGAAAUGCGUAGAGAUGUGGAGGAACACCGAUGGCGAAGGCAGCCCCCUGGGUUAACACUGACGCUCAGGCACGAAAGCGUGGGGAGCAAACAGG
rnacentral:rRNA from 1 species